AUUUAACCAGGAAAUACUGACUCCGACAGUUCUUAUCUAAAAUAAAUAUACAUGUAAAAAGUAUACUAUUCGGUAAAAAAUGAUAAUUUUGAUUAAACAUUAUUCAUUUUAAACUAUCCCAAGAUACACUUUUCCAAGAUUUAGGGGGUUCUGAUUGGUCAGUAUUGGCGCACUUUAUGAUUCCGAGCGAAGGUUAAAAUGGACAAGAAGGUGCUGUUGUAAAAUGGAGAAUUGAGAAGCAUUAAUAGCCUCUACAACAAGGAGAUAAUGCAGGAACGACGAACUCAUGUCAAGCAUUGACAGCAUACAAAGUCAAUGUUUCCGGUGAUUAGUUGCUCCUCUGUUCGGUGAUUCGGAUGAAUGUUUUGACCAGCUGGACGAUGUGAACGCAAGAUAAAUAGAACAGACAUAAAGUACAGCCCAGUGAAAGGAACAAGUUCAUCGCAAGAAGAAGAAUUUUAAUGCUACCACUGUCCAGAACUAUUAAGUCUGCUGUAACCAUGAUGUGAUCAUAUGAGUGCUUCACCGGUCUGGACAAUGCUCGAAAAUCCCCCAAAAAGGCCUAUUUCCAUAAACUACAACUCGGGUUACAUCAACAACAGCCAAGGACACUCCUUAUUGAUUCGAAUGGACACAUCUCUACGACCCGACUAAACCUCUGCAGAACAAGACUUUUUAACUGUAAAGUAUUCUCAUUUCAAAAAACCUAUAAACUAUAAAAGUACUUUUUUUAUAUGAUCAAAUACCAGUAUAUUACAAUGUCUGUCUGUAAGCUAGAAUCUUAGAAAAUCACAUGGUUUUGACUUAUUAAAUAAUUGAUUAGAUAUUAACUUUCAUUUUCUUAAAUAAUUUGUUAUAUUUGCAAAUAUUGCAUAAAAUAUUAGACUCCAUGUAACAUUUAUCCUCAUACCUCCAAGUUGAUAAGUGUUAACUACUUUUUUUUCCCAUUUUCUUUGUUUAAACAUUUAUUGAUACCUUAGUUUUUAUUUGCAGCAAUAUAUGAAAAAUUAAGAAACCAAUCUUAAAUGUAAAAACACUGCAUUAGGAGAUGAAUGCAUGGGUCAUAGAAAUGAUAAAAUACACCAAACAAUAUUCAAUUAUGUCGUAUAUGAAAAUAUAUAAAGACAACAAAUACCCCAUGUAUUACAAUUUUUAUUACUUGGAUGGAAAGUUGUUUCCAUGUGGGUUUUAUUUUAAUCUGUGUUAUGUAACUAAUAUUGGAAUUAGCUUUUAUAUCAUAAGUAAAAUGCUGGUAUUGAUGAGAAUUGUAAGGUGAAUGAUCUGUGUGAUACUUUGUAUUUUAUACAUUCAUGCUACAAAAAGCAAGUACAUGUACAUGUAGUAAUACUUGUCAUAUAUAAACAAUGUAUAUUUUACUUCAUGUCUUGGAUUUAAAAAUAUUAAUGUAGGUAAAGUAGUGAAAUGUAGGAAGGUAAACCGUGUGUAAAGAAGAAUAUUCAUCAGGAAUGAAGUGUGUUGCAAUCAGCAUAAUUAAUUAAAUGUGUACAUCAUAUUUUUGCACAUGAUUUGACAGACUGCUCCAUUGUUAGCUUUUUAUUGGCCAACAAGCUUUUCAUAUCUCCCUCUGGGUCAUCUAUUAAAUACUGACAGGCUUAUGAUAUUAAAAUCUGAUCAGUUAGUACAUCAUGGGUGGAAAUGAAAAGUUCACUUUGGACUUAAUGGAUUAUCAAAAAAAUGAUAUCAAAUCCUGUUCUAUUGUAAAACAUUAGAUUAUAUUACUAACAAAGAAAAGGUUUAUCCCAACUUGUAAGUGGGUCACUUUGACCUCAUUUUGGAAUUUAUUGACAUAUUCAAAUCAAAUCUGGGUCAUACCUCUAUAGUCAACUACUAUCUUGUAGUGUAUUUUUUUUUUUUUUUAAAAGAUGGAUACUAUAGACUUUUCAAAAAUAUUUUAUGGUGUACAUAUUCAUUGUAGUUCAAAACAAAUUGAGACAAGUGUAUCAUGUUCAUGUAACAGUGAAGUUUUCUUUGUUUAUUCAUGUACGUGCAGUUAUUUUGUAAAUUGCAUUCAUAUUUUUAAAAAAGUAAGAUCUUUGUUUCAUUUUUAAAGGGAGAUUUGAUAGGCAUUUAAUCGAGAUGAAAAAAAAUACAAAUGUAAAGAUUUCUAUGGGAAUUUUUUUCUUGUGCAAUUUUAUCAUUUUUUAGAUAAAAGUCCCUAAUAAGGGAAUUGCCAUAUGGAUGUUUUUCCAUUAUUGUAUCUUGGCUGUAUUUUAUUUAUUAUUGGAAACAAUUUCAGAUUUUUGAACAAAAUAAAUUUGGAACUGUUUUAAAUUGUUUUGUUUUUACAUAAAGUAGAAACCUUGCUCAGCUUUUGUGAAAGCAAAAAUAUAAAAAGUUUCAGUAAGUUUCAGUUGCGGAAACCCUUUGUAAACAAUAUGUAUCCCAAUUGUAUAUGGAGGUUGAAACUAUGCAGAAACUUCAAGUUUCAGUAAGUUUCCGUCGCGGAAACCAUUUGUAAACAAUAUGUAUCCCAAACGUAUAUGGAGAUUGAAACUAUGCAGAAACUUCAAGUUUCAGUAAGUUUCCGUUGCGGAAACCAUUUGGAUUCAUGGACAGCCUAAGUUUCAGCACUGCGGAAACUUAAUGAAACUUGAAGUUUCCGUGCUGAAACCUGUCGGAAACU